UUGGCACCUAGUCCAUUAUCACCCUUGGGAAAUCUUCACUCCCAGUAUAGUCAAAUUUUCCAUCGUCCCCUUCUCUCUUACUCUCAAGAAUCGCUUGAUCGAGCUGCAAGAUCUCCCCCGCUCUCACUCGAACGAACGCACAUACUCGGAUUUUCUCCAUCAUCCCCUUCUCUUUCACUCUAUCAUCAAGAAUCGAUUUUAUUAGGCCUGCAACAUCAAGAAUCGUCCCCUUCUCUUUCAUUCUGUCCUCUCUCUAUCUCUCUAUUUUUUAUUCGAGUGUCUUUCUUGGGAAAACCCUAGUGGCAUUACGACACCAUUGCCGCCGGAAGAGUUGUGGUCACUCCCCCUUCUCUCUCACUCUAUCUCGCUCAAACGAUCUCCAGCUUGCUAAAACCACUGUCUCUCUCUAUCUUUCUUUUUGGAACCGAGUGUCCUUCUUGUGAGAAUCGGCAUUACGGCACCAUUGCCGCCGGAAGAGUUGUGGCUUUAGGCUUGGUUGAAGGUGGAUUUAUUUGUCUGCAGAGGUUGAAAGUGGAUUUAUCUAUUUGUGGCAUUUGGAAAGGCAAGGUUGAACAUGGUAAAGGAGGAUACUUCACACGUUUAGAUGGAGACAUUUGAUCAAAUUUUACAUGAUAAUUUUUUUUUUUUUGGAUUGAGUUUUCAUGUAUUCAAGAAACUUGAAUUUGUAGCAAACACAUGGAUGUUAAAGCACCUUGAGAUAUAGUUCAUUUAUUGAAGAACCUUUUAUUGGAAUUUUAAAUUCAA